CCAAAUCUGUAACUGGAUAUGACCUAUGAUGUGGAUGUUGAAAGAAAGGAGACAAUUGGGGACCAUAAAAAUGAGGUCGGCGAAGAUCUAACUUUGAGUUUCAACAAAGAUGAGACGAUUUUGUUAGUGUCCCAUGUACCUUCUCCACCAAAGUUCAAGGAUCCAGACAGUUUUGCAAGAUCGUAUCCAAUUGAUAGUCAUGUCAUAUGCAAGGCUAUAUGUGAUAUGAGAGCUAGCACAACUUUAGAGCUAUGGUAGAAUGAAAAAGGGAAGAUAAAAGAAGAACAUGUUGUGUUUGACAAACUUCCAUGCCACAAUCUGAUCACAAACAUAAUGGGGAAAACACCUAGUUGUUUGUCGUACUUAAUGGGGGUCCUAUCUAAAAA
rnacentral:lncRNA from 1 species